AAACUCAUUUUUUUCGCUUAAUAAUGUAUUGUGAAACUCUUUCUAAAUAAUUUCAUAUUCGUCCACAAUAAUUUUCAAAUAUAGUGGCAGUUGAGGACUUGGGGUUUUGUCUUCUGUGUCUCAAACAGAGUCCUCAUGGCCUUUUUCUCCUCUUCAGUUAAUGGUGACCUAAACUCCCAUGGAAGAAAGAGGAAAAGAAAAUUAUGCUUAACGUAUGGCAUAUCCUGUCCCGGUGCACCGAACUUAUUAGGAACUGGGUAUGGCAUGAGGUGGACCCAGACGUCAGACUUAGGAUGAGUGUGUAACAGAUGUGUGUUGAAUAGGGGAAAGGUGACAUAGGAGGUGGGACUCGAAGCAGAGUCUGGUCAGGUUGACAAAAGCCAUCACCUGGCCUGGCCCUGGACAGGUCAGAGGGCCACUCCCCAAAGGGCUUGUGCAACAUCGAUGAAGACACCCCAGCAGACUUGUCUUCUUGCUUUCACAGUGGAGAGGCACUCGGUGAUCAGGGACAAGCAGUCCCAGCCUGGGGUUUUCCUGGGGACUUUGAAUGCUAAAAUGAGACAGUCUGGGUAAACCAGGACAGUUGACCACCCUACUCAGUGAGUCCCACCCGAGGUUCAAAUUCUCCUCGUAAAGGAUGUGGGUUGAUUCCAGAACCUUUGAAACCAUCAUCUCACCUCUACAGGAACCUUGAGUGUGGUGUCUGAGAGGAGAGUUAUAGCUCCCAGCCAGAAUCCUUUUAUAUGUGAGAGAAAUAAAUGUGAAUCAUUUUUAUAUCGCUGUUAUUCUGGAUUCUCUGUCACUAACAGUCAAACCAAAUUCCUACUGAUAAGACUGUAUAAAAGUAAUACUAAUUAAAUUCAUUUACAUAAGCCCACCAAUUUCACUCUUAAUUACUGUGAUGCGCAAUAAUGAAGUACACACCCCAACAUACCAUUGUAAGUUUUAUUUGAUUUCAGCACUAAACUUAGUUUAUAGAUAUGCUUGGCUUCUUUCAACAGUUUGUUGAUUACAUAGUAUAAUCAUCCACUGACAACUUAAAAAACAUGGGAGGAGACAUAUUUCUUCCAGUGUGUGAAUGGAGGCCCAGGGCACCACGCCCCACUGUUGAAUUGGAAUAAAUGGAUCAAUCCUUUUUGAACAGAGUCUGAGAGACAGCAUUAACACACACCUCAUGGCCAAAGUACAUUUUAUUCAGCCUUUGCCGCAUGCAGUUGUUUUUGGGGACAUGGUGUGACCCUUGGCAUAUCUGCAUCUGUGAAAUAAUAAGCCAUUCUUUAAAUCAAGAUUUUGCAGCAUUACGAAUGCUUGGAGAGGGUUUUCAAAAUUAUUAUUCUAGUGCUAGUCUGCUUCCCUUCUUUCUCUUAAAUAAUCUGCAUUAGGCAUUCAAAAGGUCCACUCAUCCCAGGACAUGACUAGAGCUAAUUUGCUGAGAGCCUCUGAGCACCGCCCAGCCCUGCUCAGGACAUCUGCUGGGAACUUAAAUCAUUUUAAGUGGAGGAAUUAGCCUCCUGUUUUCUGCUGGGAAAGAAACGUGACUCUGGGUAUUCCGCACCAGGCUUUUAAUGGUGGAAAUGAACUAUGCUGCAGAUAUACAAAAGAAAAAUAAAUCCAUCUUCUUUUACUAGGAGCUUGACACUUUUAUUUAGAAAAUUUACAUUUCUGAAUGCUUCCUUCGUACAUUACAGAUGCAUUUCAAAUGUGACUCUGUUAGGUUAAUAGUCUACGCCUUAAAAACAGAUCAGGAUGAAAGUGGGAUUUGAGGCCACUUUGAAGGAAGAAAGAAAGAAGAGAGAGGAUUUAGCUAAUGAUAAGAUGAAUCAAAGAGCAUAACAAAUUCUUUUCUUGCAAAAGCAGAGAAAUUCUGAUAAGCCUGAAAGACUCUGAAUAGAGAAACAUGCUCUUGUAAAUUACUUUUGCAUCAGCACUUACCUCCCCAAGACUUUAACAUGGAAAAUCUAAAUGGGAAUUCUAUAUAAUGGACCAUCAUCCACAAUAUAUCAGUUAUGGAUGUACAUACUGUGUGUGUUUUUAAUAUGCUUUUCUAUCUGUGGUUUCAGUGUUGAAUGCUGUUUUCUCCGCACAUAGAACAAACUGAAAGACAGCUUGGAAUUGACUUCUGCACAUUGCCACACCACUACGACAACGGCUCCAAUCUGAGUAAGAUUCAGGAGUGAAAUCGAUGCAAGGAGCUCCAUGGAAGUAGGAUUGAAUGCCUCUGGUCUUUUGGCAAGCUGUUUUCAUCAAGUCAUAGCAAGUAUCACGUCUCAAGCCAUCAUAUGACAAGACAUUCUUGAUGUCUGGGUGGCCCAGAUCCCUGUACAGGAUGCUCUGGACUUUCCAGGACCAUGAUCCCCUUGCUGUCAAAGCUGGGCCAAGGCUACCCUGCGCUUCGGCUCUCCAGGAGCGUUGGCAGCAUUUUCAACGCUGUUGGAAGAGACUCAGUCAAAGGACAUUUUCCUGGACUGUUGUCAACUAAUGAUUUUGUCUUCUGCUCCAUCAUAAUACUCCUUUCAUCUAACUCAUCCUUUAAAUAUAAAUGGACUCAGGUAUGCUUCCAGUUUUUGUGGUAUAGUAGGUUAAUGUCACUAUUUUUUGAUGUCUCAAUUAUGAUUUCACAUUUCAUGUGGGUACACACUGGAAUUUUGAAUUAAAGUAGAAAUUUAGAUCUUGUUGUAAUUUAAUAAUGGAGACUUUGGAGAUAUGGUCAUUUCUUUUUUAGAAUGCUAUCUUAAUAUACAAUAUAAGCACAACAAACUGUACGUGCAUAAAGUGUCUAACUUGAUGAAUUUGGCAUAUGUGUACUCUCAUGAAUCCAUCAGCACACCCAAGAUAAGGAACAUUUUCAUCACCCCCAAAAGUUUCCUGUUACCCCCAGUAACCCUCUGCUUUCUCGCCUCUCACCCCUUCCUCACCUUCAGGCAACCACUGAUCUGCUUUAUAGCCCUCUAGAUAGGUUUGUAGUUUCUAGAAUUUUAUAUAAGUGAAUCAUACAAUAUUACUCUUUUUUGUCUGGUUUGUUUCACUCAGCACGAUUAUUUCAAGAUUCAUCCAUGUUGUCACAUGAAUUGAUGGUCCAUUCCUUCUUUUUGUUGCAUAGUAUACCACAGUAAGAAUAUACUACAAUUGUUUAUCCAUUGAUCUAGUGAUGGACAUUUGAAGUGUUUCUGUUUGGGAUAUUACAAAGAAAGCAACUCUGAACAUUGGUCUACAAGUCUUUGGGUGGUUAUAUGAUCACAUCUCUCUACCCAGGAGUCGAAUGGCUAGGUUAUAUGGUUGGGAAGGUGUAUGUUUAACUAUGUAUGAAACUUCUGACUUGUUUUCCAAAGUGUUUUUACCAUUUUACAUUCCUACCAGCAGUGCAUGACAAUUUCAAUUUCUCCACAUUUUUGCCAACACUUUGUAGGUCAGUCUUUUUAAUUUUAGCCAUGCUACUGGGUAGUAGUAAUAUCUCCUUGUGGUUUUAAAUUUUCCUUUCCCUGAUGACUAGUGAGUAUCCUUUCAUGUACCUAAAUGCCAUCUGUAUAUCUUCCUUUUCAAUUGGUCAUUUGUCUUCUUCUUAUCGAAUUAUAAGAAUUUUUUCUAUAUCCAGAUAGAAGUCUUUUACUGGAUAUGUUUUGCACAUAUUUUUCUCCCAGUCCACGGCUCACUUUUCAUUUUCACGACAGUAAAGCAGAGGAAUUUCCACCCUGAAUAUUUUCCCUCCCGGGACUUCCUCUUCUUUGUCUUGAAUCUCGUUGUCAACUUCUUGUCCAGACAUGGCUUGUUGCUGAGCCCCCGGCACACCAGCUCUGCUUCUUAGACGGGACCUUCUUGCUGUCCUUCACAGUGGUCAUUCUUCCGAUUCUAUGUGUUUAGUCCCCUUGGUGCCCUGCAUCCAUCUGUAAGAAGAGAGACCCUGCCUGACUGGGUACUGAGGUAAGUGACACACCCUUGGAGUUUUAGCUCCCAGAAUCACGGACUUCAGUGGAGUAACUGCAUUUGUUAGAACCCUCACACACUCAAACAAAAUGCAGCCAUCUGGGACAAAACCAAAUAUUGACUAGUUAAUGAUGUUAAUGAAGAAUCUCAUCAUUUCUGCUUACUUAUCAAACAGCCACUAAGUGUGAGGGCCUUCUCUAUGAGUCUAAUGGUCAAGAAAGAGGCUCCAUACAGCUGACUACAGAUUUCUGGAAGACUGACCCUGCAUGUUAAUUCCAUGACAUAGACAUGGAAUUGCGUGAGUGUGGUUAUAAAAGACAUAAGUGAUGCUCUAGAUAUGGAAGCCCUACUAUUUCGUUCAGGAGACUUUCCAAGAUGGAUGAGCUAUUUCUCACCAAUCCGGGGCUUUUCGCUCCUCCACUGUGAAUACAUGUGAAUUUCUUUCUAUGACUUAUACACCUUCCAGUGCUCUAUUUCCUUCUGAAUUCACACAAUUAUUAAAGGGAAAUUGUUUGUAAAGGUUAAAGAAUAUCAACCUACUGAUUAUUUUGUGUCAAAUUUUCAGGUGUCCUGAUUAUAGACAUUGAAUCCCCAUUGAUGAGAGUGUAUCUCAGUUCUAGAUGAGGCAAACCAGGCCUCUGCAAGUUUAUCCAAAAUCAAGCAUGCGUGCUUGACUCGAGACCACAGCACAAGUCUUUUGGCUCAUGGAAGAGCCAGAACCAACUGAAAGCCACAGGGAACUCGAUUUCGUUUAUGGAGCAAUAAAACAAAUUCAAAGUCCAUUUAGGCCAGAAUGGUUCUUUUCUUCGCAUAUUUGACACUUCAGUACCUAUUCUGGGGCUUAGCAUUAUGUGCUCAUAGACUAUACAUAAGGUACCAUGUGUUUCUUCUGGUAAAUCAAAAGUAGUUUUUAUGUUAUAUUGGGAGGAAGGUUUCAUGUACUAGCAUAAAACAUUGUAAUAAACUUCCAGUGCACCCUUCCCCCUGCAAAGGCAUUCCAUUCUGCAUGUUAUAGGCAACCGCUCGCAAGGAACACGCGCCAUGUGAAAAAGCAAUUACUGCCUUGCCUAAGGAAUGAAGCUGAUUCUAUCAGCAUGUCUAGGCUUUUGCAGAUAAGAAGAGAGUGAAGCCAUGGAUUACUAAGACUACUGCAGUUUUUUACGUUUUGAAAAUUCAUUCUUUGCUAAUGAUUAGUGACGGAAAAAAGUAAGUUAAGUACUGCUUGACAGUUUGCUCAAUAGGAGCUCUGUAAUAUCACCUCUCCUAGUCUUCUUUGGUAUAGAACCAGCCAUCCAUAUUGACAGCUUCUUUCCCUUUUUAAUAAGUUGUAAAUUGAGCAACAUAAUUCUUCCCGUGUCCAAGACUAGUCAGCCAAAGUACUCAGAAAUUGGCUGGCUGUACAUUCUAACUUGUCUGUCAUCACUUUCUUUCAUUACAGUCCUGUGGUUGGCUUUUGUACACUUUAAGAACCUAUUCACUAGUGGUUCACUUAAUUUGGGUAUAUGCUACAUGUUAUUCUGUGCUUGUGUUAGACCAAAAUGCCACAUGGCACAACUGUAUCCAGAUGAUCACUGUGCAGAUAAAAGGGUUGCUUUGGGGUUUGCCAAGCUUCCCUCUAUAAGACUUCUCUUUUCACCAUUGAUAAAAUUGAUGAAGUCUAUCAAAUUUUGUCCAUUGUGCUGUUAUUUCACAGAAAUGGCCUAUUCGUGAGUCUCGUAAUUCCCUCUCCUCUUACUUGUGAACAUAUCUGAAAGGAACACUGAUAAGAUAUUAGGUCCCGUGAAAGAGAGGCCCUUCCUUUUGAUUAUCCUCUGGUAGAGCUCUUCAGAAUGGAAUGGACAAGCUUUUAAGGAGAAGGCUCUUUGUCAGGGGAAGUAUUUAUACAGAGAAUGGGAUCCUAUGUGAACUGGAAGCUUGGGAUGGAUAUUUUCUAACACUCCUUCUGGAGUUGAGAUUUGUUGACAUGGUCCUCAAACAGCUCAAUGUAGGGGAGCCAAGGGAAGCUGAAUAAAUAUAAAUGGAAGGUUUUUGUUUUAUUAUUCUUAGUAGUUUUACUCGAAAAAGGAAAAACGUUCUUUAUUGUUUCUUUGUUGUUGAAAGAGUCGUGGGGGAUGAGGGUUUUGUUUCGCAACAAGAGAAGAGCAGUUGAGUGUGUUUGGAGUGUGGGAAAUUAUCCUAAACUGUGACGCACGUUGUAGAUUCUUUCGCAGGAGCAGCCAGAGACUGGUUUCGCCUCUCCUUAAGGAAGGAGGUACCACUGUACAAUCUAAGGCAGAGGGAAGAUGUGCUAGUUAUACAGAUCGUCUCCCCGCAUAUUUAUGAGGCAACCUUUUUCUAAAGCCAGCGAAAGUAGGUAAUCAUUACAUCUCCUGGGUGAGGUGGUAAACAACUCACGCUCCGACCGGCAGAGCAUAUCUGUGGGCUCACAGUUCAAGUCAACCGUGCAGGGAGGAGGGAACUAGAGGAAAUGCAGUUUCGUUUCCCAGUAACUCCCCCCACCUGAAUUAAGGUGGGAAAGGAGGAGAACAUCUGUAAAAAUAACAGCAUGCAAACUUCAGAAGGACGGGACCAUGCCCGCUUAACAGCAGUUUGAGUCCUACAUGCUUAAAAAAUCCGCAGGGAUGAAUCACCGUUCUAGAAUUCUGGAUAAUCUCUGCAUAUGGCAAAGAACGACACCAGCUGAAUAAAGCCAAGGGACAUCUGCCUGCCUGGACACCAAAGACAUUAGCAACUGGAUGGAAAGAAAGAAAUCCAAAUGUUCAUUCUCAGAGAAUCAUCGUUUCAUUGACUUGAUCACUGACAGACAUCUUCAGCGUGAUUACAAGAGAAUUUUGAACAUAUCAAAGACUCUCAGGUUACCGCUGAGAUUUUCUUCUAAGCCUUUGUAAAUAUAGUGAUUAAUAAAGAAAUUUCAAGGCCCCACAAUCAUGGGCUGUGAUCACACGAAUGUGAAUUAUUAACACCAAAUAACCAAAAUGAUUUCUAUCUGUCAUGUGGUCACAUAGAAAGUGGUGGGAGCACAGCUGAGCCACUAGGGAAGACCCAAGAUUUCAUUGUUUUCCUGUGAGUGUCUGAGUGUUAAUGUGAAUUCCGAGGAUGCUUUUAUGUGCAGCACUGUAGGCAGAGCUGCCACUUGCUGUCCUGUGAGUCCCAGAACUCCCCUGACUUGGCAGCCCACAGGGUGCCCCAUGUCCACUGAGCCCUGCCAGCCCUGCGGUGAGCAGGCCUAUCAAAUACAGACAUUGCCGGUUUCUGACUCUCAAGUGUCUUACAGAAAAUAGAGCCAGGAGCUCCAUCUGGCAUUCUGUUUGCUAAAUGUCCCAUUGAUGUCAAAUACCAGGAAAUGUGGCUGUUUAAAAUCCCAGGGAAGAAGAUUUCCACUCAGCAGCUUCCUAAUGGACACACACACUCGGUGAAGCAGAAGCCCUCAGCUGCAGUCUAGUCACAGGCUCUUGCACACCAGCUCUCGGGGCCUCCACUGUGAGGUCGGAAGACACAUGGCUGAGGGAAAUGGACUCUUCAGCUUCGGCGGCUUAUUCUAUGCUGGAAGCCGAUAGAGGGCAGUGUUGCAAAAGCCUGCAAAAGGCCACACUCCACAGCCUACCAGGACCACCACAGCGCUUACCUCCGGCCUUCUUCCACACUCCUGUACCAGUUUAAUGAUGAACAGGAGCAAUUAAAGCAGCUAUUCCACAAAACAUA